rnacentral:rRNA from 1 species
AUUGAACGCUAACGGCGUGCUUAACACAUGCAAGUCGAGCGGCAGCACAGUAGUAGCAAUACUAUGGGUGGCGAGCGGCGGACGGGUGAGUAAUGCAUAGGAAUCUGCCUUGUAGUGGGGGAUAACCCGGGGAAACUCGGGCUAAUACCGCAUAAUCUCUACGGAGCAAAGUGGGGGACCGUAAGGCCUCACGCUAAAAGAUGAGCCUAUGUUGGAUUAGCUAGUUGGUAGGGUAAAGGACUACCAAGGAAACGAUCCAUAGCUGGUCUGAGAGGAUGAUCAGCCACACUGGUACUGAGACACGGCCCAGCCUCCUACAGGAGGCAGCAGUGGGGAAUAUUGUACAAUGGGCGAAAUCCUGAUCCAGCAACGCCGUGUGUGUGAAGAAGGCCUUCGGGUUGUAAAGCACUUUUAGUUGGGAAGAAAAGCUCAAGGUUAAUAACACUGGGGGAUGACAGUACCUGAAGAAUAAGCACCGGCUAACUACGUGCCAGCCGCCGCCGUAA